GAAAUGCGAUAAGUAAUGUGAAUUGCAGAAUUCAGUGAAUCAUCGAAUCUUUGAACGCACCUUGCGCUCCUUGGUAUUCCUUGGAGCAUGCCUGUUUGAGUAUCAUGAAAUCUUCAAAGUAAAUCUUUUGUUAACUCAAUUGGUUUCUACUUUGGUAUUGGAGGUCUUUGCAGCUUCACACCUGCUCCUCUUUGUUCAUUAGCUGGAUCUCAGUGUUAUGCUUGGUUCCACUCGGCGUGAUAAGUUAUCUAUCGCUGACACUGUAAAAGGUGGCCAAGGUAAAUGCAGAUGAACCGCUUCUAAUAGUCCAUUGACUUGGACAAUACUUUUAUGAUCUGAUCUCAAAUCAGGUAGGACUACCCGCUGAACUUAAGC
rnacentral:misc_RNA from 1 species